rnacentral:tRNA from 1 species
GGUUCGGUGGUCUAGGGGUAUGAUUCUCGCUUAGGGUGCGAGAGAUCCCGGGUUCAAAUCCCGGCCGAAACG